UUUCAUUGUUACAGUCGAUGAUGAGUGCUAGAAUCAGUAACUAACGCAUGCAGACACAUCUUGAUUUUCUGAUUUUGUAAAUCUCGCAAACAUGAAUUUUCAUCAAAUCACAUUUGCACGAGCGACCGAUCUUAAUAUUUUCUUUAUGUGAUUAUAUUUACAUAAGUAGUAAUAUAUUAAGGUGCUUAAAGAAAUAAAAGUGUGUUUCUUCCCUCUGUGUGAGGGUUCAUCUCACCGUUCUGUGUGAGUGGUUCCCGAUUGUGUCCAUUUCCGGUGCCGUCGAUCCUAGCUCGGGCUGGGAUCGGUGGGUUUUCGUUUGUUCCUUUCUCCCUCUCUUUUUCCUCUUCUCUCCGCUGUUUUCUUCCCUGGAUUUCUUGGCCGAUCUGCCAUUUUCGCUCCCCUCUGCUGUUUCUCUUCCAUCUGCCUCCUCUUUCCCAGCUUCCGUCACCCUUUACCGCACCUGGUUGCGGCGUUUCGAGUUGGUGUGCUUUGAUCUGGUGCUGGCACUAGGUCGGGUGAUCCUUGCACCCCCACCUUCUCUCUGUUGUCUGCCCUUGUUGGCAGUGUUGCUCGUGGACUGCCAUGAGCUUCUUUCUCUUGGCUGCAGGUUCUCCGGGGUCUGUCGCUGUGCUGGACGUGAAGCUUGGACUUGGAUGCUGGUGGCGGUGAGACGUGGCUUUGUUUGGGGACCAAAUUUGACUGGAUCGACAUGCCCGGCUGCUAUUUUGGUGGUUGCAGCGGCGGUGUUGGCGGAUGUUGCGGCGGUUCUGGUUGUUUCUGUGUGUUUUGUUUUGGGCUCACCUUUUGGUUGGGCCUCUGUUGGUUGUUUGUGUUUUCGUUCUUGGGCCUUUGUGUUGUAAAUUUUGGGCCUCUGUGUUGUAGUGUUUUAUCUUUAAUGAAUUUGUUUUCUCCAAAAAAAAAAAAAAAAGUAGUAAUAUAUUAGGUAGCUUUAUGGUGUAGGUUAGAGAUCAUCGAGAUUUGUGACUUGUAAAGUCAACUCAUUUGGGAGUACUAUGUUUUGUCUGGUUCUUUCCAAGUCAUUAAGCUGUAAACAGUAAGCUAAUCCAUUUUAAAAAUUAAUAAUAAAAUAAUAAAAAGAUGAAUUUCAAGCAUGUAUUCCACACGUCACAUUCUAUGUUCGAUUCCUAAAGUUGGUGAAUCACAUUAUAGUGGUCAGGGAGAGCUUGAAAUGCCUUUGUGAGUUUUUUUCGGCUUCCAAAAAUGUGAACUACCAUAGUAAAAUCAUCAGUUGAUAAUUAAAAAAAAAAUUAACUAGCAAAUAUUGAUACAUGAGGUCUUAGGUUCGAGGCUCCAAGCUGGUGAGUCUGUUUGACUGUGGUCAGAGAGAUGCUGAAAUAACUUUGUGAGUCUUCCCGACUCUAAAAUAAGGUGGAUGUCUGUGGUUUACCACUAGUUGUCCCCUUUUAAGAAAAUAAAAAAUAAAAACUAAUGAAAAAAGCUUCAAAACUUUGAGUUUUAAUAAAAAAUCAUCCACUAACUUUAUUUAAUGAUAAGUUCAAGAGAAAUAAAAAAAAUAAAAAAAAACCUAACAAAAGCGCGUGCAAGCCCUACACCUCUGUCAAUACGUGAUCCACCACUUACAGAGAAGAAUAAUAUGAGGAAAGAUUUUUUUUUUCAAACUGUCAGUCGGUAGUCUUUUUCCAAUCAAAUGUCCAUCUCUCUUCAAAUCUCUUAGAAUUCAACUCUAUUUCAAUAUCCAAUUGUUGAACAUCCAAAUGGACCUCAAAGUCCUAUUGAUUCAAGCAAAUGAAGUUGAAGAUCAACAAAGCCUGCAAUUUCCAUACACCUGUGUCAAUAUGUGAUCCGCCACCAUGACAACGAUGAUUAUGAUCUUCUUGCUUAUCAGACUGAUCUGAAGGGAUGGACCCCAACAUUAGCAUCCCCAUGUUGUAGUUAGACAUUAUCAUAUGGUGUUGGUGGGGGUAUUGGGAUAGUGCUAGUAAACUCUUGUGAUGUCCUCCUCCUCUUCCAUGAUUUAAUAAGAAUUUCCUGCUCCCAACUCCAACUGCCAUGUUGAUGGUAUGAUGGAAAUUAUGAUCCCAAGAGGAAAGUUACUGCUGCUACUCACCUUCAGCUUCUUUUAUGCGGAAGUUUUUGUGGCAAUUGCAGGCAGAGCAGUUGAGGCCCUUGAGGGCUCCGAUGGUGCCCUAUUCUCCAUUGGGCAUGAAUUCGCAACAACCAUUCAUAGUAGUCCCUCACAUGGCUAACGCAUGGUUCUCGAGGCACUCCUUGUACCUCACCCUAUUGUGCCCAACUUUUUUAUUAUUAAAAGUGUUGUGUUUGUAGGGCACAACAUUUGCAUUUGGCGGAGGAGAAGAGGAAGCUGUAGAUGGGCGGACAAUAGAAGAAAAUUAAGCAAUUGAUGUAUAAAGUUAAGAAAUUGAAGAGAUAUAGAGAAAAUUUGAUGAGUAUCGAAGAAAAUUAGAAGAAGUAAAUGUGUUUGGAAUGUGAAAAUGUGCCAAGAAAAUUCAAGAAGAGGAGAGAAAAGAAUGUAGUAUCGUUAAGUUUCUUAAACAGUGUCGUAAGUUUUCAUAAACAGUGUAUUAAGUUUCAUAAACAGUGUCGUAAGAUUCAUAAACAGUGUAGUAGGUUUCAUAAAAAGUUUUGUGAGGAUGCAUGGGUCUGUGCGUCAAUUUUUUUUUUAAUAUUAAAAUUAUGUCUUUUUCAUUAAAAUUUAAAUUUUUUGUCCCUUUUAUUAAAAUAUAAGAGGUUUUCAUUAAAAUUUAAGUCUUUUUUAAUUAAAUAAAAUUAUAGCAUAAUUUUUUAUUAGAACAAAUUUAGCUCAAACUCUUUUCAUGAAAGUUUCCAUAAAAAAAAGAUAUUGAUAACACACAUACAAUGGACUGAAAGCGUGACAACUUUUCAACUAGUUGGCUGCCCACUGGUUACGAGCUACAAAAUAAAAUUAUAUUAUGCAAUAAAAAAUAUUAAAAUUUGAGAGAGAGGGUUUUGCUCUUAAAAAAUUAAAAAACCAUGUGACAGAUUGAGAGGGGGGUCGAAGCUUCACUUUGCCUGGAAAGCAAGAAAUAUAUAGAGUUUAUUAGUGGGAACACUAAUGGCUUCCCACUUUUAAUUACGAAAAGUUUUUUCUUGAGAAAAAAAUUAUGAAAAGUUAAGUUUGAUUAUUUUAAUUAAUAAUAAAUAGCAUUAUAUAUCAUCAUAAAAUAGCAAAAUCUUAAAAGUUUAAAACAUUGAUCACUUGACGUACAUUUGGAUGAUCACUUAAUUUUACCUUAAUCAUGGUAUUGCAUGAUUAACUUGAUACAAUUACAUUAACAUGUUCCCGUAACAUGGAAGUCGUUCUCCAUCAUUCUCCACCAUAUUUUAGGCAGAUAUAAGAAAGUGAAAGGCUUAAAGAACAAAGAAGAACCUUGGCAACUGUGGAGAAGAUUAAAAAUGGAAGGGACAAAGCAUGGGGCAUUAAUGUGGGUUAACACCUGUGGAACUGAUUAGAACCCAUAAUCCCACAUGCAAUGCAAUCACUAAUAUUUUAAGUUUAAUGAUCAUCAUAUGAAAAUUUAUCUCCUUUUCCUUUCACUUAACUCCGAAGCUUACUUAUAAUAAGCAAAAUUAUCCAUGUUAAUCCUGAAAUUUUUAUUAUUAUUAUUUUUAAAUAAACUAGCUGAUGGCUUUGCCACUGUUGUUCAUCUUUCUUGGAAUCGGAACGAGAAAGAGGCAUUUCAAUCUUUUUCUGACCAACAUCGUGUGAUUUAUCAAUGUCGACAAUUAAACUCAAGACGUACCGUGUAAAAUACGAACCUGAAAUUAAAAACAGAAAAAGAAGUCAACUUUCUUAGUGUCUUUGGUUGUAUGAAACUAAUUAAUUUGAUUAAUUAUUCAACUGACCGACUUAAUCCCAUCCGAAAAUAAAAGGACAUAAGUAAGUACAAAAGAUUGUGUAUAAUCCCAAUGUCCUAAUUGCUAGAAAUUGAGUACUCUCACAGCAGCUGUUUUGGGAUUUUUAUUUUCCUUGUAGCUAGCUAGGUGCCUAGGACUCGUUGUUACUAAUGUCUUUUGAUUGGACUUGCAUUCUCUGCUCUCCUAUUUCG
rnacentral:lncRNA from 1 species